rnacentral:rRNA from 1 species
AUUGAACGCUGGCGGCGUGCCUUACACAUGCAAGUCGAACGGCAGCACGGGAGCAAUCCUGGCGGCGAGUGGCGAACGGGUGAGUAAUGUAUCGGAACGUACCUUUCAGUGGGGGAUAACGUAGCGAAAGUUACGCUAAUACCGCAUAUUCUGUGAGCAGGAAAGCAGGGGAUCGCAAGACCUUGCGCUGAUUGAGCGGCCGAUAUCAGAUUAGCUAGUUGGUGAGGUAAAGGCUCACCAAGGCGACGAUCUGUAGCGGGUCUGAGAGGAUGAUCCGCCACACUGGAACUGAGACACGGUCCAGACUCCUACGGGAGGCAGCAGUGGGGAAUUUUGGACAAUGGGCGCAAGCCUGAUCCAGCCAUGCCGCGUGAGUGAAGAAGGCCUCGG